GGGAGCUUGGCUCAGUUGGAAGAGCGCAGGUCUCAUACGCUUGUAUGAUCCAAUCAUAGAUUGGGAUAUCCUGAGGUCGUGAGUUCGAGCCUCACAGUUCCCA
rnacentral:tRNA from 1 species